AUCUUCAAACUUAAAAAAUUUGGCGGUAUUUUAGUCUAUUCAGAGGAACUUGUUUUUUAAUCGAUAAUCCACGAUGGACCUUACUUAAUUUUGUUGAUCAAUUUGUAUAUCGCCGUUAUUGAAUAUUUUAUAAGAAUAAUAAUUUUCAAUUUUUUAAAUAAAAUUAUAUAUCAGGUCAAGGUGCAGUUUAUGAUUAAGUUUCAAAUGAGUUACAAUAAAUAUAUUUAUGUGAAUUAAAAUUUUAAAUUAUUUUAUGAAAAUGGAUUUGAUAGUAAACUAUAAUAGAUUAUAUAUUUGAUU
rnacentral:rRNA from 1 species